GUAGUGGUGUUCAAGAAUGUAACUUCAGCGUGUAAAGCCGUGAACGCUUUCCAAAGCAGGAUCCCAGGCACAAUGUUCCACUGUUCCUGGCAGCAUCGAUUCAUGUCGAAAGAUGAAAAUCUCAGUGCCCUUUGGAUACAUUGCUCCGACCCAAAACUCACAAAUCCUCAACAAAACAUGGCCAAUCCGAAGAAAACAGUGGCCACUAUUAAUGAUCCUGAACAAACCAAACCAGAGACAUUUUUAAAGUAGAAAUAAUGUUGAAGCUCAACAGUUUCUUUUUCUUUUUCUUUUUUUUUGAGUGGAACAAAGAAAAGAAGAGGAAAAGAAAAACAGGACACACUCGCAGGGCAGGGAACAUUACCGAAGUGGUGAUGGCGUUUUUUUUGGUGGGCCGGUUAAACAUGAUCUUUGUGAUGCCAUCUUGAGAGGUCACUAUGAUGUUUUCAGAUCCCGGUUGUUUCUCGUUGGCUGCUGCAGGCUUCACUUGGCUAGAAGACUCAGACGAAGGACUCAAACUGGACACCAAA